ACCGGAAAUAAAAAUUAAACCGGACAUACGUCAUUGCGCGAGACUGACCUCGAAAUCAUAUGACCUUCUGAAAGAUGGCUGGUGGAAUGGAAAGAACGCAAAAGCUGCCAAAGCUCCAGGAUGCAGACAAGGAGUCCAUGAUAGGGACCGUGUUUGCCGUCUCUGGACCUG